UACGUAGGGUGCAAGCGUUGUCCGGAAUUAUUGGGCGUAAAGAGCUCGUAGGCGGUUUGUCGCGUCUGCUGUGAAAACUCGGGGCUCAACCCCGAGCUUGCAGUGGGUACGGGCAGACUAGAGUGCGGUAGGGGAGAUUGGAAUUCCCGGUGUAGCGGUGAAAUGCGCAGAUAUCGGGAGGAACACCUAUGGCGAAGGCAGCUCGCUGGGACGUUACUGACGCUGAGGCGCGAAAGCCAGGGGAGCAAAAGGG
rnacentral:rRNA from 1 species